AAUCAAGCGCGAUAAGGGCGUUUGGUGGAUGCCUUGGCAGCAAGAGGCGAUGAAGGACGUGAUACCCUGCGAUAAGCCAUGGGGAGCCGGGAAUAGGCUUUGAUCCAUGGAUCUCCGAAUGGGGAAACCCACCUGACUGUUUGCUGUUGUUAUCCUUGCGGAUAUCAACAGUGGGCAUAACCAGGUAUCUUUUACCUGAAUACAUAGGGUUUAAGAAGCGAACCCGGGGAACUGAAACAUCUAAGUACCCGGAGGAAAGGAAAUCAACCGAUACUCCGCUAGUAGUGGCGAGCGAACGCGGACCAGCCGAGCCUUGAGGAUGACCAGAACAGACUGGAAAGUCUGGCCAGAGCGGGUGACAGCCCCGUAUGGGAAGUCUGAUGGGACAUAUUAAGUAGGGCGGGACACGUGAAAUCCUGUCUGAAGAUCGGGGGACCACCCUCGAAGGCUAAGUACUCCUUGCUGACCGAUAGCGAACCAGUACCGUGAGGGAAAGGUGAAAAGCACCCCGACGAGGGGAGUGAAACAGUUUCUGAAACCGGACGCCUACAAGCAGUCGGAGGGGCCUUUAUUGAGCCCUGACGGCGUACCUUUUGUAUAAUGGGUCAACGACUUGGUCUAUCUAGCAAGCUUAAGCCGUUAGGUGUAGGCGCAGCGAAAGCGAGUCUUAAAUGGGCGCAUGAGUUAGAUGGAUCAGACCCGAAACCGAGUGAUCUAGGCAUGAGCAGGAUGAAGGUUGGGUAACACCAACUGGAGGUCCGAACCCACACCUGUUGAAAAAGGUCGGGAUGACUUGUGCCUAGGGGUGAAAGGCCAAUCAAACUCGGAGAUAGCUGGUUCUCCGCGAAAGCUAUUUAGGUAGCGCCUCGGACGUAUCCCUCGGGGGGUAGAGCACUGCAUGGAUGAUGGGGGCCCACAGCCUUACUGAGUCUAAGCAAACUCCGAAUACCCGAGAGGACUAUCCGGGAGACACACGGCGGGUGCUAACGUCCGUCGUGGAGAGGGAAACAACCCUGACCAACAGCUAAGGCCCCCAAUUCGUGGCUAAGUGGGAAAGCAUGUGAGACUUCCAAAACAACCAGGAGGUUGGCUUAGAAGCAGCCAUCCUUUAAAGAUAGCGUAACAGCUCACUGGUCUAAUCAAGAGGUCUUGCGGCGAAGAUGUAACGGGGCUCAAGCCACGAGCCGAAGCUUUGGAUGUGCAUUUAUGCACGUGGUAGCGGAGCGUUCUGUGAUAUAGGACGCUGCCUCUUCUGACCCUUCGGGGGCAGCGGAGGCAUUGUUCUGACUGUGAAGCUGGGCCGUGAGGCAUCCGGUGGAGUGAUCAGAAGUGAGAAUGUUGACAUGAGUAGCGACAAACAGGGUGAGAGACCCUGUCGCCGAAAGUCCAAGGGUUCCUGCUUAAAGCUAAUCUGAGCAGGGUAAGCCGGCCCCUAAGGCGAGGCCGAAAGGCGUAGUCGAUGGGAACCAGGUUAAUAUUCCUGGGCCAGGAGAUGGUGACGGAUCCCGAGGGUAGUUCGAUCUUAACGGAUUGAUCGGGCUGCUUAGGGGUUCCUGGAAAUAGCCCUCCACAAGACCGUACCCUAAACCGACACAGGUGGACUGGUAGAGAAUACCAAGGCGCUUGAGAGAACCACAUUUAAGGAACUCGGCAAAAUACCUCCGUAAGUUCGCGAGAAGGAGGCCCGAUGGGUGCGCAAGCAUCGGUCGGGGGCACAAACCAGGGGGUGGCGACUGUUUACUAAAAACACAGGGCUCUGCGAAGCCGCAAGGCGACGUAUAGGGUCUGACGCCUGCCCGGUGCCGGAAGGUUAAAAGGAGAUGUGCAAGCAUUGAAUUGAAGCCCCGGUAAACGGCGGCCGUAACUAUAACGGUCCUAAGGUAGCGAAAUUCCUUGUCGGGUAAGUUCCGACCUGCACGAAUGGCGUAA
rnacentral:rRNA from 1 species